GGACACACUUGGGGAGGAUGGGGGACACACCUGGUUGGGGGGGGAACGACACACCUGAGGGCCCUCCUGAAGGUCCCCCUGUGCUCUCAGAGCCCCCCAGGUGACCCUCCCCCCGACUCGGGGAUGUUGCCACUGCCCGCCGGGACCUGGCCCAGGUGAGCCGAGACCUGGGGGUGGCCACAGCCUGGCUGGGGGGGCUCCUGGCACACCUGGAGACACAGCCCCCCCAGCUGCAGUGUGAGGACCCACCCCCUGUGACCCCCAGCUCGGAUGAUGAGGCCCCCCCGGGGCUCCCCCGUCCCGUGCCGCCAUACAAACGUCGCUCGAGGCUCAUCCCUGGAGGGGGGGCGCGGGACCCCCCGCUGAGAACGGGGACCCCUGGGGACCCCCCCACACUGACAACCAGUGCCUCCCAGUACACCCAGCACCUCCCAGUGCCCCCCAGUGACCCCUAUUAAAGCUCCUUGUAUCCUCCACCCCUCAUGUGUCUCUGUCUGGGGAUCCCGGGGUGGGUCUGGGGGGGGGUCCCGGAGGGUUCUAGGGGGCGGUCACAGAUGUUUGUGAUGCCCCUCCCCCACCUUUGCCUCCUUAUC